rnacentral:rRNA from 1 species
AUAACCGUAGUAAUUCGUAGGGCUAAUACGUGCGAGCGCCGAAGCCGCGAGGCGACGGGCGUUCUCGCCGGAUGUAGGAACCGACCCGGGGACCGCCGGGGCAACCCGGCGCCCCCGAGACGGGGCGAACCACGGUGAAAUGACGGAUCGUCGGCCCCGCGCCGGCGACUCGCCGAAUGAGUUUCUGACCUAUCAACUCGAGACGGCGGGGUAGAGGCCCGCCGCGGUAACGACGGGUAACGGGGAAUCAGGGUUCGAUUCCGGAGAGGGAGCCCGAGAAACGGCUACCACUUCCAAGGAAGGCAGCAGGCGCGCAACUUACCCUAAUCUCGAUUCGAGGAGGUAGUGACAAGAAAUACCGAUGCGGGACCCUACGGGUGCCGCGUUCGGAAUGAGUACGAUUCGAACCACCUAACGAGGAAC